rnacentral:lncRNA from 1 species
GCGGAGUUGGUAAAAACAGCAAAGGCAACGCUGGUUGGAUCAAACAAUGUGUAAGAAUGGUCCUAACACUAGAUCUAGUUGCAGAUAAUCAGCUAGAAGAUAUCAAUUGACCUUAAUCUUCAGCAAUGAUAUAAGCACGGUGCAAACACUUACUAAAAAUAGUGAAACUCUCGAUAAAACAUAAAUUCAGCAACUCAACCACUCUUUUUUAGAUUCAAUGGUAAAUACUGAUUUCCAGCACUUGAAACAUGAAUAAUAUUAGCAAUUAAACUUGUCUCAAGCAUUAAAAUCAAUAAAACUGGACAGACACAGUGUGCACAUAUG